UCCCUGGUGGCUUAGACGGUAAAAGAUCCACCUCCAAUGUGGGAGACCUGGGUUUGAUCCCUGGUUUGGGAA
rnacentral:tRNA from 1 species